AGAAUCAACGCUGGCGGCGUGCCUAACACAUGCAAGUCGAACGAGAAAGUGGAGCAAUCCACGAGUAAAGUGGCGCACGGGUGAGUAACACGUGACUAACCUACCCUGGAGUGGGGGAUAACUGAGGGAAACCUUAGCUAAUACCGCAUAAUACCCACGGGUCAAAGGAGCAAUUCGCUUCAGGAGGGGGUCGCGGCCGAUUAGUUAGUUGGCGGGGUAAUGGCCCACCAAGACGAUGAUCGGUAUCCGGCCUGAGAGGGCGCGACGGACGACGACUGGAACUGAAACACGGUCCAGACUCCUACGGGAGGCAGCAGUGGGGAAUUUGCGCAAUGGGGGAAACCCUGACGCAGCAACGCCGCGUGGAGGAUGAAGUCCUUCGGGACGUAAACUCCUUUCGAUCGGGACGAUUAUGACGGUACCGGAAGAAGAAGCCCGGCUAACUUCGUGCCAGCAGCCGC
rnacentral:rRNA from 1 species